CAUCAAAUUUCAACCCUUGAGAAGGUUUGGAAAACUCGCUCUGGUUUCUCACUCAUCGCACUCUCGCAUGGCUUCGUUGAAUACCCAUCUCAAAAAUCCCAUUUAUACUCCAAAAAUCAACCUGAACUCCCCUCUCUUUAUUAAAAAAUCGUUAUUUAACCAUACCCAAUUGUGUUUUUCUGGUAAGUCCAUGCAGAAGCAGGCGUUCAGAUUCAUUUGUUGUGCUGCUACUGAAGCUAGGGACAAUGGCUCUCCUAUCAUGAGCCCCAAAGCCUCUCGAAUUGGAGAGGUUAGGAGGGUGACAAAGGAAACAAAUGUGCAUGUGAAAAUAAAUUUGGAUGGAUCAGGGGUUGCAGAUAACAAUACUGGUAUCCCGUUCCUUAAUCAUAUGCUGGAUCAACUAGCAUCACAUGGACUAUUUGAUGUGUGCGUCAAGGCUCAGGGAGACAUCCACAUUGAUGAUCAUCAUACAAAUGAAGAUGUGGCUCUUGCCAUUGGAACAACACUGCUUCAAGCCCUUGGAGAUCGACAAGGAAUAAAUCGUUUUGGAGACUUCUCAGCUCCCCUUGAUGAAGCUCUUGUUCAUGUAGCAUUGGAUUUGUCAGGGAGACCUCACUUGAGUUAUGAUUUAUCCAUCCCUACAGAAAGAGUUGGGACAUAUGACACUCAGCUGGUGGAGCACUUCUUUCAGUCAAUGGCCAAUACAUCUGGGAUGACUCUUCACAUACGGCAGGGAGUGCAGUAUUUUAUCUCUACUUCAUGAUUUAAACAGCUUGCUGGGAAAAACUCGCACCAUAUAAUUGAGGCAACUUUUAAGGCCUUUGCACGAGCCCUCCGGCAGGCCACAGAUUAUGAUGUUCGUCGGCAAGGAAGCAUUCCUAGUUCCAAAGGAGUAUUAACUCGCUCCUGAUAUCUCUAUCCGGCGAUCGAUAGUGCAUGCAAUGGUGGACAUGAGAUUUGGUCUCCUUUCCCCAUUUCAGUAAGAUAUGCAACUUAUAAUGAAAACUGUGCCAAGUUGGUGUCGGAGAAGUUUUCAAUUUCAAAAUUGAUUCAUCGCUGUGUACAUUAAUGAGAUGACAAAAGUUGCUUGAUGAUUACUUUUCUUGUUCCAUGACUGAGGCAAAUCUAUGUUCUUUGAAGCGUCACACUUUUCCGUAAUUGAUAUGAUAAAUUUUUUGUUCA